CGAACCUGCCAGAGAGCCGGUCAUUGACCCAGGGCCGUGCCCUGACCCUGGACCAGCAGUCCAGCCACCCAUUCCCAGGGCCGCCCUUGGGCCGGGGGAGACCGGAUGACAUGCAGCAACUUCUGGGUGUAGCCGGAACCUGUUUCAGCCUUGGCUUCGUCACAGGGCUGCCCGAGUCCGGGCAAGGCUCCUCACUGGGGGCAGGGGAGGGGUUCCUGGGGUUCCCACCCACCCCCACCAACAAAUGAGCAGGUGGCCAUCGAGUUUGGGCCACAGCCAGGCACCCAGUGGUCGGGGCGGAAAGCACGGGGCUCCGGGCAGACGCCCAGGGUCAGAGGGGGGCCGAGGUGGUGCCGCCAGGAUGGCGAGGAGGCCGGCCUGCCGAGCUAGCGCCCCGAGAGGCAUGGCCAGAGGCGGACACUCCACGUCAGUUUCGAUCUUUCAAUCUCCUCCCCUUUGAGGAAAAGGAGAGCGAAUCUCAGCCCGCCCGUCGCUGACGUCAGUGCCAGGAAGGCCUGCGGGGCUCCUUCCAGACACAGCCCGGCCCAGGGGCGCCCAGGGCCAAACACCAGCCCACCCUUUGGGCGCCUCGUCCCCACCCGUGCACCCGCGCACACAGUGGUCUGCUCGCUGCCCGUCCUCACCGGGAGAUGCCCCUGCCUCGGGGGCCCGGGCCAUCCGGCCCUAUCUUAUCACUCGUGGAUACCUGCUCAAAAGCCUACUGUGGCUCGGCGGCUCCCAGGACCGCACGGGAAGAUGCUUUGUGGUUUUCUUGUUAAACGGUGUCUGUCCGUACCUCUCUGUAUGUAUAUUGUAAUUGACAAAAGAAGAAGAAAAAAUGAAGGGUUUGUUGCACCAGAUCGUAAAACUAACGUAAGGCAAAUUAUACCUUUAAUUAAAAGUCUAAAUAAAACUU